rnacentral:piRNA from 1 species
UGAAAUUUCUUGUUGGUAGUGAAGAC